rnacentral:rRNA from 1 species
AGCGAACGCUGGCGGCAGGCCUAACACAUGCAAGUCGAACGAACCUUUCGGGGUUAGUGGCGGACGGGUGAGUAACACGUGGGAACGUGCCUUUAGGUUCGGAAUAACUCAGGGAAACUUGUGCUAAUACCGAAUGUGCCCUUCGGGGGAAAGAUUUAUCGCCUUUAGAGCGGCCCGCGUCUGAUUAGCUAGUUGGUUGAGGUAAUGGCUCACCAAGGCGACGAUCAGUAGCUGGUCUGAGAGGAUGAUCAGCCACAUUAGGACUGAGACACGGCCCAAACUCCUACGGGAGGCAGCAGUGGGGAAUCUUGCGCAAUGGGCGAAAGCCUGACGCAGCCAUGCCGCGUGAAUGAUGAAGGUCUUAGGAUUGUAAAAUUCUUUCACCGGGGACGAUAAUGACGGUACCCGGAGAAGAAGCCCCGGCUAACUUCGUG